AGCGAACGCUGGCGGCAGGCCUAACACAUGCAAGUCGAACGGACCCUUCGGGGUUAGUGGCGGACGGGUGAGUAACACGUGGGAACGUGCCUUUAGGUUCGGAAUAGCUCCUGGAAACGGGUGGUAAUGCCGAAUGUGCCCUUCGGGGGAAAGAUUUAUCGCCUUUAGAGCGGCCCGCGUCUGAUUAGCUAGUUGGUGGGGUAAUGGCCCACCAAGGCUACGAUCAGUAGCUGGUCUGAGAGGAUGACCAGCCACAUUGGGACUGAGACACGGCUCAAACUCCUACGGGAGGCAGCAGUGGGGAAUCUUGCGCAAUGGGCGAAAGCCUGACGCAGCCAUGCCGCGUGUAUGAUGAAGGUCUUAGGAUUGUAAAAUACUUUCACCGGUGAAGAUAAUGACUGUAGCCGGAGAAGAAGCCCCGGCUAACUUCGUGCCAGCAGCCGCGGUAACAC
rnacentral:rRNA from 1 species